rnacentral:rRNA from 1 species
GCUGGCGGCAGGCCUAACACAUGCAAGUCGAACGGUAACAGGAARMAGCUUGCUKYUUYGCUGACGAGUGGCGGACGGGUGAGUAAUGUCUGGGAAACUGCCUGAUGGAGGGGGAUAACUACUGGAAACGGUAGCUAAUACCGCAUAACGUCGCAAGACCAAAGAGGGGGACYUUCGGGCCUCUUGCCAUCGGAUGUGCCCAGAUGGGAUUAGCUWGUWGGUGGGGUAACGGCUCACCWAGGCGACGAUCCCUAGCUGGUCUGAGAGGAUGACCAGCCACACUGGAACUGAGACACGGUCCAGACUCCUACGGGAGGCAGCAGUGGGGAAUAUUGCACAAUGGGCGCAAGCCUGAUGCAGCCAUGCCGCGUGUAUGAAGAAGGCCUUCGGGUUGUAAAGUACUUUCAGCGGGGAGGAAGGGAGUAAAGUUAAUACCUUUGCUCAUUGACGUUACCCGCAGAAGAAGCACCGG